UAAGGGGAAGAGUCAAAAACAGCUUGUAAGUUUCUCGCUGUUCUGUGUUCCUGUAAACGCGAGGAAUGGAAGACAUCGUUUUCGCGUUCUUUAUAGCGGACGAAGCAGAUGCAAUUGAAAUACACCUAUUUUUACACGAAGACGAGGACAAUCGCUGAAGUACUGGAUACUGCGUCUGUGGAUAGUGGCAAACAACGGAGGCUGGGUUCCCUGUGAUCGGCAUAAAGACGGGCAAUUUACAGAAGCUCUAAGAGAUGGCUUAAUUACUGCCAGCAUGGAUAUGCUAUUCCUUCCGUCUAGUCUGCUGUGCACCCUGUUCCAGCUGGACAUGUCUUCGAGUAACGGUACACAGCAUCUGGAUUUACUGUUCAUAAACUGGCCUAUCAGGACCAUCCAAAAGCCUUUCUGAAGACGAUCAAAGCAGCACGGUCACAGUACUACUCUAAUAUCAGCCAAAAUAAAAAAAUUCUGCAAAUUAUAGGCCCAUAUCACAUCUGCCCUUUCUUUCAAAAGUAAUUGAAAAGUUAGUUCAAUUGUCAGUUACCUUCAGGAUCACCUCAAACUAAACAAUAAUUUUGAAAAAUUUCAGUCAAGUUUCCGUUGUGCACACAACACUGAACCAGCUCUAGAGAGAGUCACAAAUGACCUGCUGAUGACAACUGAUGCUGGUUCACCAUCUCUACUUGUCCCCCAGGAUCUGUCCGCAGCAUUUGAAACCAUUGACCAUGGAAUUAUCCUUCAUUGGCUACAUCACUCUAUUAGACUUGAUAACACCGCGCUUUACAUGAAAAUGGAUAGUCACUCACCAUCAACAACAACCUGACCCAUACUCACCGCCUGUCUGGAGGAGAUUAGCACAUGGAUAAUAUUUAUCACUUUCUCCAGUUGAACAGUUCUAAAACAGAAGGCAUACAAGACCCGACCCAUUGGGUACAGGGCUUUUUGCACUGCAGCCCCCCGGCUCUGGAAUGACCUCCCUUUACAUCUAAAGGUCCCACAAGCCAUUGAAAGUUUUAAGAAGUGUUAUGUUUAGAUUACCUUGUUGUGUUUUAAUCUCUAGCUAACUGUUGUAACCUUGUGGUUAUGCGUUGUAGCACUUUGAGAUUUUCUUGGAAAUGUAUAGUCCUUUACAAAUAAAAUGUAUUAUUAUUA